rnacentral:misc_RNA from 1 species
GAUGAAGAACGCAGCGAAAUGCGAUAAGUAAUGUGAAUUGCAGAAUUCAGUGAAUCAUCGAAUCUUUGAACGCACAUUGCGCCCGCUAGUAUUCUGGCGGGCAUGCCUGUCCGAGCGUCAUUUCAACCCUCAAGCCCCCGGGCUUGGUCUUGGGGAUCGGCGAGCCUCCGCGCCCGCCGUCCCCUAAAUCUAGUGGCGGUCUCGCUGUAGCUUCCUCUGCGUAGUAGCACACCUCGCACUGGGAAACAGCGCGGCCACGCCGUUAAACCCCCAACUUCUGAACGUUUGACCUCGGAUCAGGUAGGAAUACCCGCUGAACUUAAGCAUAUCAAUAAGCGGAGGA